rnacentral:rRNA from 1 species
ACCUGCGGAGGGAUCAUUACUGAGUUACCGCUCUAUAACCCUUUGUGAACAUACCUACAACUGUUGCUUCGGCGGGUAGGCCGUCCCCUGAAAAGGACGCCUCCCGGCCCGGACCGGACCCCCCGCGGGACCGGACCCGGCGCCCGCCGGAGGAUAACCAAACUCUAUUGUAACGACGUUUCUUCUGAGUGGCAUAAGCAAAAUAAUCAAAACUUUUAACAACGGAUCUCUUGGUUCUGGCAUCGAUGAAGAACGCAGCGAAAUGCGAUAAGUAAUGUGAAUUGCAGAAUUCAGUGAAUCAUCGAAUCUUUGAACGCACAUUGCGCCCGCCAGCAUUCUGGCGGGCAUGCCUGUUCGAGCGUCAUUUCAACCCUCAAGCUCUGCUUGGUGUUGGGGCUCUACGGUCGACGUAGGCCCUCAAAGGUAGUGGCGGACCCUCCCGGAGCCUCCUUUGCGUAGUAACAUUUCGUCUCGCACUGGGAUCCGGAGGGACUCUUGCCGUAAAACCCCCCAAUUUUCCAAAGGUUGACCUCGGAUCAGGUAGGAAUACCCGCUGAACUUAAGCAUAU